rnacentral:rRNA from 1 species
AGUGAACGCUGGCGGUAUGCCUAACACAUGCAAGUCGAACGGCGGCACAGUAAGAUCUUGCUAUUACGGGUGGCGAGUGGCGGACGGGUGAGGCAUACAUCGGCUUCUACUUUUUCGUGGGGGAUAACGUAGGGCAACUUACGCUAAUACCUCAUACCACCUACGGUUGGAAUCAGGGGAUCUUCGUACCUUUCGCUCUUGCAUGAGUGGAUCGACGUUUUAUUAGCUAGUUGGGUAGGUAACGGCCCACGAAGCCGACGAUAAGUAGCCGGUCUGAGAGGAGGAUCAGCCACACUGGAACUGAGACACGGUCCAGACUCCUACGGGAGGCAGCAGAGGGGAAUAUUGGACAAUGGGCGAAAGCCUGAUCAAGAACUACCGCGUGGGUGAAGAAGGCCUUCGGGUUGUAAAGCCCUUUUGUUGGGAAAGAAAAGCAGCAGGUUAAUACCCCGCUGUUCUGACGGUACCCAAAGAAUAAGCACCGGCUAACUUCGUG